GGCCCUGUGGUGCAGUGGUAGCACGUUGGCCUCCUAAGCCAAGGGUCUAGGGUUCGAUCCCCUACAGGGUCG